AUCGCAGCCCCUCGGUCACUCGCAAGCACGCGGCAGCCGCCGCAACCAGUCAGCCACUGUGUCGCCGCUCGCUGUCCGAGACGUGCAAAUCCAUCGAUGGUGCGCCACACUCCUCCUCGACCUUGAGUCCUCGACACACGGUAGCUCGGGCCAUUGGCGCAGGUGACCGCACAGGCCGCAUCGCCGCAGGCUGUCGGCCCGACCGGGACCAACGACAUCCAGGGCUCCAGCUCCAGGUGUCGCUGUGCUAGACGCCCAGUCCCGGACCGAUGGUUGUGCUGCUCGUGCAAGUAGCAAGCCUGACUAGGACUGGCAGUUGUCCUCGUCCAAGCACCAGUCCUCUACAAUAUGUACAACACGGGAGUGGCAGUCAGAGAAGGUGCUCAUGAAAGGAUACAAACCUGUAGAAUAUGGUCUUCUUUGGUUUCUGUCCAGUUGCCCUCCAGAAAGAUAUGAGAAGCUCCCUGCACAACCAACAAAAGUUAUGCAUCUAGAGGAAUCCAAAUAACCAAGUCAGUUUGUUGCUUUUGCAAAUCUAUUGCCACGACAAGCCAAAUGUUAAUAUGAAGAAAAAAUGGGAUGUUCAACACUCCAACUUAGGCAUUUGGAUAUGGAGUGCAUGGUGGCCAGAACAUUUCAGAGCAAAUUUUUUACAUAGUGUACAUUUUUACCACUAUCUUGUAAGAGUACUGUCAAGAAACAACACUAAGUUGCAGAUUAAUUUCUACAGCAGCCAUCAGGUUAUUUGAUUUGAAAUGCACCAUAGAGGAUGGAAGGAUCGAGGAAAGGCUAUUUGAUUUUUAUGGCCUGAAUGUUUCAUCUUAUAA